AAGAAAUGAGGAAUGAACAUGGACUUCUUGUGCCCCAAAAGAAAAGACAGAAAGCUCCUAAAAUGAGCAAAUAAGCUGUGCAUCAUCUCUGGUGUUUGGGAAGGAAAUGACUGAAUAUGAUGAAGCCAAUUGAUGAAGAUAUCAAUUGAAUGGCCACCGAGUGCAUCACUGCUACCUGAACCCAUCAGUUAUCUUCUGUGAAGACUGCAUUCACAAACCGCUCUACUGCGACAGCUCAGAUGUUACGGCCUGCAAAGUAAACAUCACAGCUAAACAACGAGAGCUAGUUGUGGUGGGAUUCUUUUGGCCAAUAUCCCCAACAAGAAUCAAUGACAUCUAGACCAGGUGGAGUGUGAGGAGGACCGUCAGAGACUCCAGCCAGCCGAGCCAUGGAUUGCUCUCACUGUUACCAUCAGGCAUGCGAUAUCACAGAACCUACACCAGCAGACAGUGAGACAAGUUCCUUUCACAGGCAAUCAGACUGAACUGAACUCAUACCAGUAAAACCAUACACACCCCACCAACCUCAUAUGCCCUGCACUCUUAUCAGUUAUGCUGACUGGACUCAAUAUUAUUAUGCACCCUGACAUUCUGUUUGCACUAAUUCAUACCGUGCUUUACUGCAGAGAUGUAUGUGUACUGUGAUUAUUAUUGUUUUCAAUUCAUGCUCUUUGUAUAGCAUAAUUUUUAACAUAUAUUGUUAUCUACCUGAAUUGAGUCCCUUAUAUAUGUGUGUUGCAUAUAUAUAUAUUCAGAAUUUGUAUUUCAUAUAUAUUCAUGAAUUAAUUCAUUUGUCAUCCAUACUGUCACGCUGCAGUCUGCACCCAAGACUUUCAUCACCUGUAUACUUGUGUUCAUUGUAUUGUGACAAUAAAGAUAUUUGAUUUAAAUUA